rnacentral:misc_RNA from 1 species
GAUGAAGAACGUAGCGAAAUGCGAUAAGUAAUGCGAAUUGCAGAAUCCGUGAGUCAUCGAAUCUUUGAACGCACAUUGCGCCCCCUGGUAUUCCGGGGGGCAUGCCUGUCCGAGCGUCAUUGCUGCCCUCAAGCACGGCUUGUGUGUUGGGCCCCGUCCUCCGAUCCCGGGGGACGGGCCCGAAAGGCAGCGGCGGCACCGCGUCCGGUCCUCGAGCGUAUGGGGCUUUGUCACCCGCUCUGUAGGCCCGGCCGGCGCUUGCCGAUCAACCCAAAUUUUUAUCCAGGUUGACCUCGGAUCAGGUAGGGAUACCCGCUGAACUUAAGCAUAUCAAUAAGCGGAGGA